UACGGAGGGUGCGAGCGUUGUCCGGAAUCACUGGGCGUAAAGGGCGCGUAGGUGGCGCUCCAAGUCUGUGGUGAAAGCUCGAUGCUCAACAUCGAGUCGGCCAUAGAGACUGGAGGGCUCGAGCACUGUAGGGGCAGAUGGAAUUCCGGGUGUAGCGGUGGAAUGCGUAGAGAUCCGGAAGAACACCGGUGGCGAAGGCGGUCUGCUGGGCAGUUGCUGACACUGAGGGCGCGACAGCGUGGGGAGCAAACAGG
rnacentral:rRNA from 1 species